rnacentral:rRNA from 1 species
AACGCUGGCGGCGCGCCUAACACAUGCAAGUCGAGCGAGAACCGGACCUUCGGGCCCGGGGACAGCGGCGAACGGGUGAGUAACACGUGGGCAACCUGCCCUCGGCACUGGGAUAGCCCGGGGAAACCCGGAUUAAUACCGGAUAGCCUCCGGAGCCUUCGGGCGCCGGAAGAAAGGUGGCUUCGGCAUCCGGCCGAGGAUGGGCCCGCGGCGGAUUAGCUUGUUGGUGGGGUAAUGGCCCACCAAGGCGACGAUCCGUAGCUGGUCUGAGAGGACGAUCAGCCCGACUGGGACGAGGCCACGGCCCAGACUCCGACGGGAGGCAGCAGUGGGGAUGCUUGCGCAAUGGGCGAAAGCCUGACGCAGCGACGCCGCGUGCGGGAAGAAGGCCUUCGGGUUGUAAACCGCUUUCAGGAGGGACGAAGCCACUCGGGUGAACAGCCCAGAGGGUGACGGUACCUCCAGAAGAAGCCCCGGCUAACUACGUGCCAGCCGCCGCCGUAA